AGACACGCUGGCGGCGUGCCUAAUACAUGCAAGUAGAACGCUGAAGAAAGGAGCUUGCUUCUUUUGGAUGAGUUGCGAACGGGUGAGUAACGCGUAGGUAACCUGCCUUGUAGCGGGGGAUAACUAUUGGAAACGAUAGCUAAUACCGCAUAACAGCUUUUGACACAUGUUAGAAGCUUGAAAGAUGCAAUUGCAUCACUACGAGAUGGACCUGCGUUGUAUUAGCUAGUAGGUAGGGUAACGGCCUACCUAGGCGACGAUACAUAGCCGACCUGAGAGGGUGAUCGGCCACACUGGGACUGAGACACGGCCCAGACUCCUACGGGAGGCAGCAGUAGGGAAUCUUCGGCAAUGGGGCAACCCUGACCGAGCAACGCCGCGUGAGUGAAGAAGGUUUUCGGAUCGUAAAGCUCUGUUGUAAGAGAAGAACGUGUGUGAGAGUGGAAAGUUCACACAGUGACGGUAACUUACCAGAAAGGGACGGCUAACUACGUA
rnacentral:rRNA from 1 species